UGGGGAAUAUUGCACAAUGGGCGCAAGCCUGAUGCAGCCAUGCCGCGUGUAUGAAGAAGGCCUUCGGGUUGUAAAGUACUUUCAGCGGGGAGGAAGGGAGUAAAGUUAAUACCUUUGCUCAUUGACGUUACCCGCAGAAGAAGCACCGGCUAACUCCGUGCCAGCAGCCGCGGUAAUACGGAGGGUGCAAGCGUUAAUCGGAAUUACUGGGCGUAAAGCGCACGCAGGCGGUCUGUCAAGUCGGAUGUGAAAUCCCCGGGCUCAACCUGGGAACUGCAUUCGAAACUGGCAGGCUAGAGUCUUGUAGAGGGGGGUAGAAUUCCAGGUGUAGCGGUGAAAUGCGUAGAGAUCUGGGGGAAUACCGGUGGCGAAGGCGGCCCCCUGGACAAAGACUGACGCUCAGGUGCGAAAGCGUGGGGAGCAAACAGG
rnacentral:rRNA from 1 species